AACGACUCUCGACAACGGAUAUCUCGGCUCUCGCAUCGAUGAAGAACGUAGCGAAAUGCGAUACUUGGUGUGAAUUGCAGAAUCCCGUGAACCAUCGAGUCUUUGAACGCAAGUUGCGCCCGAAGCCUUCGGGCCGAGGGCACGCCUGCCUGGGCGUCACGCAUCGCGUCGCCCCCCCC
rnacentral:rRNA from 1 species